UAGUCCACGCCGUAAACGAUGUCUACUAGCCGUUGGGGUACUUGAGACCUUAGUGGCGCAGCUAACGCACUAAGUAGACCGCCUGGGGAGUACGGCCGCAAGGUUAAAACUCAAAUGAAUUGACGGGGGCCCGCACAAGCGGUGGAGCAUGUGGUUUAAUUCGAUGCAACGCGAAGAACCUUACCAGGUCUUGACAUCCAGAGAACUUUCCAGAGAUGGAUUGGUGCCUUCGGGAGCUCUGUGACAGGCGCUGCAUGGCUGUCGUCAGCUCGUGUCGUGAGAUGUUGGGUUAAGUCCCGUAACGAGCGCAACCCUUGUCCUUAGUCGCCAUCAUUUAGUUGGGCACUUUAAGGAACUGCCGGUGAUAAGCCGGAGAAGGUGGGGAUGGACGUCAAGUCCUCAUGGCCCUUACAGGCUGGGCUACACACGUGCUACAAUGGCAUCGUACAGUGAGCAGCGAUCCCGCGAGGUUAGCUAAUCUACCAAAAGNUGUCUC
rnacentral:rRNA from 1 species